AAAAUAGACGCCUGGCUAUUGACUUAAGCUUUUAUUUUGAAAUAAUUAUUACUUCGCAUAGACUGGUAAAAUAACAAGUAUGUAGCAAUAUACUUGAUUGUGUUUUAAAAUGUUUAUCAAAAUCUGCAAUUCAACCAGCUGGUAUACUGUGAGCCUUGAGUCUUGAGAAAGAAACCUUAAGAAAAAGGUCAGGUCAGUCGCGUCCCCAUUUUUUUAUAUAAUUUCCUGUAGUUUUUGUGUAGUGGUAUUGUGUUGUAGCAGAUUUAUGUAGAAGUACUACAUCUUCAUCACUUUUGUUUUGGUUAAGGAGAUAGAGCCGCUAGCCUUACAACGAUUCGCAGAGUUUAAUUGCUUCAAGUUAAAAACUUGCACUCGAGGAGGUGUAGCUAUUUGCGGUUUUGACGACACCCGUAGAGUCCUAGCUCAGUUUGAAGACAUGUGCACACUCUAUCAGGUUAACUGUGAAGGAAAAGGCGUAUUUAUGUACGUCGAAGAAAACAUUUGCGAAGGACAGAAACGAUUUGAACAUGAAUACAAGCCAUUUGACGAAAAUUCUAAGUAUUUUAUUGGUUAACUUUAUUUAUUUUUAAUAAUACUAGUAUUGUUAUGUUAUUCAUUUUAAUUAUAUUAUAUAUGAAAUAAAUAUGAUUAAAAAUUAAGCAAGAUGAUUUUAGCCACAG